UACAGAGGGUGCGAGCGUUGUCCGGAAUCAUUGGGCGUAAAGAGCGUGUAGGCGGCCAGAAAAGUCCGCUGUGAAAACUCGAGGCUCAACUUCGAGCUGUCGGUGGAAACUUUCUGGCUAGAGUCCGGAAGAGGAGAAUGGAAUUCCUGGUGUAGCGGUGAAAUGCGCAGAUAUCAGGAAGAACACCCGUGGCGAAGGCGGUUCUCUGGGACGGUACUGACGCUGAGACGCGAAAGCGUGGGGAGCGAACAGG
rnacentral:rRNA from 1 species